UACGGAGGGUGCAAGCGUUAUCCGGAUUCACUGGGUUUAAAGGGUGCGCAGGUGGGCAGGUAAGUCAGUGGUGAAAUCUCUGGGCUUAACCCGGAAACUGCCGUUGAUACUAUCUGUCUUGAAUAUAGUGGAGGUGAGCGGAAUAUGUCAUGUAGCGGUGAAAUGCUUAGAUAUGACAUAGAACAUCGAUUGCGAAGGCAGCUCGCUACACUAUGAUUGACACUGAGGCACGAAAGCGUGGGGAUCAAACAGG
rnacentral:rRNA from 1 species